GGGUGAGUAAUGUAUCGGAACGUACCUUCCAGUGGGGGAUAACGUAGCGAAAGUUACGCUAAUACCGCAUAUUCUGUGAGCAGGAAAGCAGGGGAUCGCAAGACCUUGCGCUGAUUGAGCGGCCGAUAUCAGAUUAGCUAGUUGGUGAGGUAAAGGCUCACCAAGGCGACGAUCUGUAGCGGGUCUGAGGGGAUGAUCCGCCACACUGGAACUGAGACACGGUCCAGACUCCUACGGGAGGCAGCAGUGGGGAAUUUUGGACAAUGGGGGCAACCCUGAUCCAGCCAUGCCGCGUGAGUGAAGAAGGCCUUCGGGUUGUAAAGCUCUUUCGGCCGGGAAGAAAUCGCAUGGGUUAAUACCCUGUGCGGAUGACGGUACCGGCAUAAGAAGCGCCGGCUAACUACGUGCCAGCAGCCGCGGUAAUACGUAGGGUGCGAGCGUUAAUCGGAAUUACUGGGCGUAAAGCGUGCGCAGGCGGUUUUUUAAGACAGGCGUGAAAUCCCCGGGCUCAACCUGGGAACUGCGCUUGUGACUGGAAGGCCAGAGUAUGGCAGAGGGGGGUGGAAUUCCACGUGUAGCAGUGAAAUGCGUAGAGAUGUGGAGGAACACCAAUGGCGAAGGCAGCCCCCUGGGCCAAUACUGACGCUCAUGCACGAAAGCGUGGGUAGCAAACAGGAUUAGAUACCCUGGUAGUCCACGCCCUAAACGAUGUCAACUAGGUGUUGGGUGGGUAAAACCAUUUAGUACCGGAGCUAACGCGUGAAGUUGACCGCCUGGGGAGUACGGCCGCAAGGUUAAAACUCAAAGGAAUUGACGGGGACCCGCACAAGCGGUGGAUGAUGUGGAUUAAUUCGAUGCAACGCGAAAAACCUUACCUACCCUUGACAUGUCCAGGAGCCUGAAGAGAUUUGGGUGUGCCCGAAAGGGAACUGGAACACAGGUGCUGCAUGGCUGUCGUCAGCUCGUGUCGUGAGAUGUUGGGUUAAGUCCCGCAACGAGCGCAACCCUUGUCGUUAAUUGCCAUCAUUUAGUUGGGCACUUUAACGAGACUGCCGGUGACAAGCCGGAGGAAGGUGGGGAUGACGUCAAGUCCUCAUGGCCCUUAUGGGUAGGGCUUCACACGUCAUACAAUGGUCGGUACAAAGGGUUGCCAAGCCGCGAGGUGGAGCCAAUCCCAGAAAGCCGAUCGUAGUCCGGAUCGCAGGCUGCAACUCGCCUGCGUGAAGUCGGAAUCGCUAGUAAUCGUGGAUCAGCAUGUCACGGUGAAUACGUUCCCGGGUCUUGUACACACUGCCCGUCACACCAUGGGAGCGGGUUCCGCCAGAAGUAGGUAGCCUAACCGCAAGGAGGGCGCUUACCACGGCGGGGUUCGUGACUGGGGUGAAGUCGUAACAAGGUA
rnacentral:rRNA from 1 species